rnacentral:rRNA from 1 species
AGUGAACGCUGGCGGUAGGCCUAACACAUGCAAGUCGAACGAGUGGCGGACGGGAGAGGAAUACAUCGGAAUCUACGCUGUCGAGGGGGAUAACGUAGGGAAACUUACGAUAAUACCGCAUACGAUUGAAUGAGCCGAUGUCGGAUUAGCUAGUUGGAGGGGUAAAGGCCAACCAAGGCGACGAUCCGUAGCUGGUCUGAGAGGAUGAUCAGCCACACUGGAACUGAGACACGGUCCAGACUCCUACGGGAGGCAGCAUUGGGGAAUAUUGCACAAUGGGCGCAAGCCUGAUGCAGCCAUGCCGCGUGUAUGAAGAAGUCCUUCGGGUUGUAAAGUACUUUCAGCGGGGAGGCGUUACCCGCAGAAGAAGCACCGGCUAACUCCGUGCCAGCAGCCGCGGUAAUUC